rnacentral:rRNA from 1 species
AGAGUUUGAUCAUGGCUCAGGACGAACGCUGGCGGCGUGCUUAACACAUGCAAGUCGAACGGAAAGGCCCCUUUCGGGGGGUGCUCGAGUGGCGAACGGGUGAGUAACACGUGGGUGAUCUGCCCUGCACUUCGGGAUAAGCUUGGGAAACUGGGUCUAAUACCGGAUAGGACCAUGGGAUGCAUGUCUUGUGGUGGAAAACGUUUUAGUGGUGUGGGAUGGGCCCGCGGCCUAUCAGCUUGUUGGUGGGGUGAUGGCCUACCAAGGCGACGACGGGUAGCCGGCCUGAGAGGGUGUCCGGCCACACUGGGACUGAGAUACGGCCCAGACUCCUACGGGAGGCAGCAGUGGGGAAUAUUGCACAAUGGGCGCAAGCCUGAUGCAGCGACGCCGCGUGGGGGAUGACGGCCUUCGGGUUGUAAACCUCUUUCACCAUCGACGAAGGCCCGGUGUUUGUCGGGUUGACGGUAGGUGGAGAAGAAGCACCGGCCAACUACGUGCCAGCAGCCGCGGUAAUACGUAGGGUGCGAGCGUUGUCCGGAAUUACUGGGCGUAAAGAGCUCGUAGGUGGUUUGUCGCGUUGUUCGUGAAAUUCCCUGGCUUAACUGGGGGCGUGCGGGCGAUACGGGCAGACUGGAGUACUGCAGGGGAGACUGGAAUUCCUGGUGUAGCGGUGGAAUGCGCAGAUAUCAGGAGGAACACCGGUGGCGAAGGCGGGUCUCUGGGCAGUAACUGACGCUGAGGAGCGAAAGCGUGGGGAGCGAACAGGAUUAGAUACCCCGGUAGUCC